rnacentral:rRNA from 3 species
CGUAACAAGGUUUCCGUAGGUGAACCUGCGGAAGGAUCAUUAU